rnacentral:rRNA from 1 species
AACCAACAGGGAUUACCUUAGUAACGGCGAGUGAAGCGGUAAAAGCUCAAAUUUGAAAUCUAGCACUUUCAGUGUUCGAGUUGUAAUUUGAAGAAGGUAUCUUUGGAGUUGGCCCCCGUCUAUGUUCCUUGGAACAGGACGUCACAGAGGGUGAGAAUCCCGUGCGAUGGGGAGACCAAUUCUAUGUAAAGUUCCUUCGAAGAGUCGAGUUGUUUGGGAAUGCAGCUCUAAGUGGGUGGUAAAUUCCAUCUAAAGCUAAAUAUUGGCGAGAGACCGAUAGCGAACAAGUACAGUGAUGGAAAGAUGAAAAGAACUUUGAAAAGAGAGUGAAAAAGUACGUGAAAUUGUUGAAAGGGAAGGGCUUUUGAUCAGACUUGGUGUUUNGUACUCUCUACUCCUUGUGGGUGGGGCUCUUGCUUUAUACUGGGCCAGCAUCGGUUUGGAUGGCAGGAUAAUAGCAUUGGAAUGUGGCUUCAUUCGUGAAGUGUUAUAGCCUUUGUUGAUACUGCCUAUCUAGACCGAGGACUGCGUCUUUUGACUAGGAUGCUGGCGUAAUGAUUAAAAGCCGC